CACACCGGCGUCCCCUCUGCUCACCGUCUGGCUACUUAGCAAUAAUAUCUCCGUUUGUUAGUCCUUUUUUCCAUACCGAAAUAAUAUUCUGUUGAGCUCAGGCUCAAACUCUGCUCUCUGCAGCCAAGGAGUAUGGGAAAUAAAUCCUGAAUGCAGACAAGGGGGACUUGAGAUCAGGAAUCUCAGUCUGCAGGAUGAACUGAGAAGAUGGAUACCCUAGCUGAAGUCUGCCAAGACUCAAGGGAGCACAGCAGCAUGCCAGAUCCUCCCUGGAUUUGAGCAUAUCAGCCUGCUAAGUGUCCAGCAAGGAUACAAAUCAGAGGGACUGCCAUCUGCACUUAUCAGGACAGUUGUGGACUUUCUUUGAAGCUAGGAGAUGGCCCAGGUGCAUGUUUUGUAGCAGGUGGCUGAGAUCACUGGAACUGUGAGAGAGCAUACAAAUUAUCACAAGAAGAAGGGCAUGAGUUGAUAGAAGCAUUGUGGAAAAACCCAACCAUGUAAUCCCAGGAAGUAUCAGUGGCAGUCAUUAAGUUAUCACCUACAAAAUCAGGAAAUCAGAUGGGAGAGCUUUGUUCAGAAGAAGGAAUACAAUGCACUGAAUCUGUGUCACAGUUUCUGGCAUUUUGGACGUUUCGUAAAGGAUGUAGGAGGAGGAAGUCUGGGAACAGCUGUCCAGAAAAAUGGCCACCUAUCAAUAAUUACUUCCUUCAAGAUGUGUUCAAAACCCUCACAUAUGUUGUCAAGAGGAUUCACUUGCUUGUGUCUAGCUUCUUCAGCUAAUGGAUGACAGAGAAUAUUGCCUGAAUCUAUUAUAUACGUAUGAACACCAAAUUCCUACAUUGCAGGACCAGCCCAAUUCUUUGCUCUGCUGGAAGUCAUCUUAAGAGGUUGCUUGACAUGGGCCUCAGGAAUGCCUGGUGGAACUUCAGCACUCAGCUCUCACUCUGUCAUCACAGCUGUGCAGAGAGGGGUGGAUGGCUGCAUCUGGGAGUCCAUCUGACAGAUGAACAACUGCAGCAUCAGCACAGAUUUCUGCUACUUGAAUUAAUGGAGUGCCACUGCCAGUCACAGGUUGUCAUCCUCUGAGUAAAGCCCUCUAAGAAGAAGAUUGCUGAUGGGCACUGGUGAGAAACAUGAACUGAGGAUUUGCUUGCUGGCUGGGAUGGCAAUUGGAUGGAUGUGCAUUCCAGAUAUAAGCUAAGCCAUGCUCCUUGUGCAACCCAAGAGGAAGGACUUUUAACCCAGCACAGAGCACCGGCCCUGGCUGAGAAGAUCACAGAAAGCUCUCAGCACUCCUCAUCCCAGUGCACCAGCUCUUAUGGACCCCAAAUCAUGGGUGCACAUCUGCCUCAUUUCCCUGCACUGCCUGAUUGUAUUUCCACCCUCUGCCAAGCUGGUGAUGCCACAGGACCUGAAGAGGGAAAGAGUGAAAUUCUGCUUUCACCAAGAUUUUGAAAACCAACCACAUAUGAAGAUGUCAAUUACUCAAAAGGACACGGACCAGGAAAGGCUGUAUAUUCUGGGACACAUCCUCCCAGUGACUGCUUUGUGUUGUAAUAGAGUCUGGCCAGAAAGCUGCCAGAUCUGUCUUGGAUGACUACUGUGUCAAAAGCAUUUUUUAAUGACACAGAUGGAGCACUGAGUCUCCUCCCCACUUCCUUCACUGUUGCCACAUAAAGGUUAAACUGGGCUGGCACACUGCAAAGCCCCAUGGUUUUCAGUCUGUAAAAAAAACUUUGGAAAGAGACUGCUCAGUGUCAUAUGGCUGUUUUAAGAGGAGGAAAUGCACAUGCUGAUGUUUAGCGGUAAUCUGGGAAGAUUUGCAUCUGUUGCAUUUGCAAGGCCAAGUGACUUCCACUAGAUAACAUCUGUUGAAUUUGCAAGGCCAAGUGACGACUAGAAAAUCUAGAAAUACAAGAAAAAGACAAACUGAACCAGGGACAAAAUGAGGAAAUUAGAACCAGCAAGUAAAUUCUAAGUGCAAGGAACUUCUAGUUAUGAGAUCUCCAUUGAGAAAUUCUUCAGUGCAGCUGGCAACCAUUUCUUUCUGCAGCUGAAGUUUCUGAAUGAUAACUUUUUGUGGAGUGUAUCACAGGAAUGUAGAUUGCAAAGGGCAAAAAUCUAGACUGCAGCCACAAAGUGUAUAUCUGAACAGAAGGCAAAAUGCUUCUGGAAUUUGGAAAGGGAUAGAGAGAAGCAGCCUCAACUUCUGGAUGUUUCCUACCUAGUCAUCUUGAUUUCCAGCCAUCAGCUUGUCACCAUUGUCAUUCUUUCUUCAUUGGUUUAACUCAUUCCAGUGAAACACUGGAGAACCCAACAAGUCAUCUUCUAUCAGAAACUGGACAAAACCACCAGCUGUUUUCAGACAAAAGCGAGUAGAGCACAUAUUGCCCUGGUGUGGGUUUGUCUACAUGACCUUUUCCAAAAGCCCCAAGCCAGCUCUGCCAGUGUUCCCUGAGGGCCAGGUGUGGUGUAGCUGUGACCAAAAGCUGUGCACUCAGGUCAGUGUAAUGGGAUGCCACUUUUUCACUGAUUGUUGUCACACUUUCCCUGAACAUUGUGGUUGUUUAAAAAGCUUUAAACAACCACAAAGGCUUUUUUCCUUGCUCCCUUGUCCACAUGUACUGAACGGUUCCUUAUCUCAGCGUGUUUAUUUCUGUUCCUCCAUGCCCUUUUUGUUUCUGUCCCAAGUACUCCUAAUAUGAUGCCAUAGCUAACAGGAAGGCUCUACUUUCAAAUUCAAAUUAUGCAAGUUCAAACUUUCAUUUUAAAUCAGAUGCUGUUCAGAUGCCAUGCAACUACAGAUUUUACAGCGCAGUUUGAGCAAGCUUUGCAAACAUCCCAAGCAAACAAACUUUGCAGGAAACAUAAUCCUAUUAUUUUACUAAUCUUUGGGACACUGCCUCAUGGGGAUCAUCAUUUGCAACAAAGCAUCUACUCAGUUCAUUCACAGGGGGAUCUUUGUACCAUUACACAGUAUUGCUAUUUUCCUGUGCUGACAUCUGUUAGAGAAAUAGUUCAUACUAGUUACGGGAACUACCUAGUUUGAUGAUCUUAUGACUUGCUAUUAGUCCUCACAAAUGUAUUAUUUACUGAGUUUCUGAUCAUGUUUUCUCUCAAUACUAAUCAAUCAUUCUUCAGUUAUUGACUGCUCCUCAACAGACCUUUUCUGAUGUCAUUUUUGCUAAUUCUCACCUUGAAGAACCUGUACCAUCCUUCUUAACUUUAAUUCCAGAACCCAUUUCAUUAUUCACGCCUGCAAGCUCCUGUCACAAUGGAUUGUUAGCACAUCAUCAUCGGGUGUUGGAUAAUCAAACCCGUGGUGGGGAGGAAAGAGGACCACAGGACUCUCCUACCACUUGGUGACUCUUAGUAAAGGGACAGAGGCAGCUGGACUGGGAGGCAGGAGCUGUACUCCAGGAGAGUGCUGCUGGAGGCAUUUUUCCCUUAUGUGUUGGCGGGUCAGGAGUUGAGAAUGUAUGGCUUGUCCCUUCCAUUGAUAUUCUUAGUCAGAGAAUGACAUUUAACUCUUAACAAUUCCUCAUUGUAAAGCCAGAUCCAUCCCUCCUCCCGAAAACAACCUGUGGUAUUGUUCUCCUGUUACCAUGAUAAAUUAUGCAUGUGAGACACGCUGAAUCAUGACAAUGCUCCUGUACACAGUCGUUCCUUGUGCUGAGAAAUUAGUAUUUUGCCAUGUAUAGCUUUAUUAUGGUCCUCUUCAUUAUGGGACCGAUGUUAGAGUCUUGGAGAAAUUGCUAGGAAGUGAGAAGUAUACGAGCUGCCCUGGGAAUUUAAGCACAAACAUCUGGAAUAUUCUGAGGAGCUUGGAUCUGGUUUAUGGUUGAUCUAUCAACCAACAUGCUAGAUCUAGCUUUGUGUCUUCAUACAUACAUCAUAGAAGCUCACAGAAUCACAGAACAGUUUGGGUUGGAAGAGACCUUAACUGUUAUCUGCUUCCACCCCACCCUGCCAGGGGCAAGUCACCUUCCACUACACCAGGUUGCUCAAAGUCCUGUCCUCAUAGAUAACACAGAGAAGAGAAAUUUUCAGUUCUCCUGAAGCUGCUGGAUAGAGCUUAAAGACCAACUAACAAAAAUGGUAAAAGAAUGUAAAAGUGUGCACACAGGAUGAUAAAUGUAGCUGGAACCAGUAGAUAAACAGAUAAUGAGGAUUAUAGUGGCUUUUUGGGCCAAGUUAUGUAAAAAGAAGCAACAGCACAUGCCCUAAGAGAAGUUCAAGGAGAUGUCAUCUGUAAUGUGGGGGGCACUUGGUGAGUACAACCACCAAAGACCCCUUCAGACAACCCUCUAGGGACAUUAAAAGACUUUGAGUAGGAGGCAGCGGCAUGCAAAUUAGUUCUGUGAUAAGUGAUGUUUAUGUAUCAGCCAGAACUACACUGUAAUCAAUAUGUAUGAUCAUGAUGGAAUAAAUACCUUGUUCUGCCUUCUGGACACGCAUCAGAUAAACACAGAAAGCCUUCUGAUGUGUCCAGCACUGUAAUAAAGAAUGCCUGCUGUCUGAUACU